rnacentral:rRNA from 1 species
UUCGAGUGGCGGACGGGUGAGUAACGCGUGGGUAACCUGCCUUACACAGGGGGAUAACACCUGGAAACAGGUGCUAAUACCGCAUAAGCGCACAGGGCCGCAUGGCCCGGUGUGAAAAACUCCGGUGGUGUAAGAUGGACCCGCGUCUGAUUAGCUUGUUGGCGGGGUAGGGGCCCACCAAGGCGACGAUCAGUAGCCGGCUUGAGAGGGUGGACGGCCACAUUGGGACUGAGACACGGCCCAAACUCCUACGGAAGGCAGCAG